rnacentral:lncRNA from 1 species
AGAUAACGCACUGUGGGCAGAUGAAGAGGAAGUACCGCGUCUGCAAUGUGACCCGGCGGCCCGCCAGUCACCAAACAUUCCCGCUGCAGCAAGAGAGCGGGCAGACGGUGGAGUGCACGGUGGCCCAGUACUUCAAGGACAGGCACAAGUUGGUUCUGCGCUACCCCCACCUCCCAUGUUUACAAGUCGGACAGGAGCAGAAACACACCUACCUUCCCCUGGAGGCAAGUCACCUCUUCCUGUGUGUCUCUGGGGGCUUGGGAGGGCGGCGUCCCAGGC